AAUUGAGACCAAGAACAGCUCUAUUAAUCUACUCCUUUGUUUACCGUUCUUUAUUCACCAUUUCCAAACUCGUACCAUUUAUUUCUUUCUUGCUAUCUCUUUUUCCUAUGUUUUUCUAUCCCUUGAAAUCUGAUCAAUUAUGGAAGUCGCAGGAACAGCUUUGUCUGCUAUCCAAACUAUUCUUUCUGCAUUGCAAUCUCCUCAUCUUAAAAAAAUCAUUUCAAUCUAUGGCUAUGAAUCCAAACUUGAUGAACUUCAAAGCACCGUCAACAGCAUCAACAAUUUGCUUCGCAAAGCCCAGUCCGUGCAGGAGCUCCCAGAUGAUAUCCAAGGAUGGAUCGAGGAUCUUAAGGAUGUUGUUUUUGAAGCGGAGGAUUUGCUCGAUGAGUUUGUCACUCUCGCCGAGCAGAACAAGCACUUGAAGGCUGACGGUACAAUAUCCAAGAAGAUGAAGCGCUUCCUUUCUCGUUCUAACCCUUUUCUUGUUGCUUUCAAGAUGUCUAAAGGGGUGGACAAAAUAAGGAAGAAGUUGGAAGCUAUUGCUCACAACAAGCAGUUUAUCAUGGAGUUUAAUCAUGAGCCUAUCAAGUAUAGAAAGCCUGAGACUUGUUCGUAUGUGGAUGUUGCUGAAAUCAUUGGAAGAGAAGGCGACUUGGAGCAUAUUGUUGGUAGGUUGCUUGAUUCUGAUGUUCAAACUGAUGUUUCUUUCCUGUCUAUUGUGGGUAUGGGAGGAUUAGGCAAGACUGCUCUUGCACAGCUUGUGUACAGUGAUAAAAGAGUUGAAAGUGCAUUUAAUUUGAGACUGUGGCAUUGUGUCUCUGAUCAAGAUCAUAAACAGUUGAACAUUACUGGGAUUCUCGGAGCAAUUUUAGCUUUAUGUCCAAAUGAGAAAUUUACAGAUCAAUCCUCCUUGCAGAUUGUGCAAAGUCAACUUCAAAAGAAAUUAUCAGAUAAGAAAUACUUGCUUGUUUUAGAUGAUGUGUGGACUGAAAAUCGCAAUCAAUGGAUUGAACUAGUAAGUUUGUUGAAAGUAGGUCAAAAGGGGAGUUGGAUUGUGGUGACUACACGUUCACAAGUGACAGCAAACUUCAUGGGAUAUGAUUCAAUGUACCAGCUUCAAGGCUUGAAAAAGGAAGAUUCAUGGAGCUUGUUUGAGAAGGUAGCUUUUGGUUCAGAGCAGUGGAAUCAUCAUGAUGACUUGGUCGAAAUCGGGCAAAAGAUUGUUGAAGCAUGUGGUGGAGUUCCUCUUGCCAUAAGAGUGGCAGGAAGUCUUGUAUAUGGCCAAGACAAGAAGAAGUGGGAAGCAGUCCAGGAAGUGGGUGUGGCCAACAUGGGCAAUAAUGAUAUCACACAAAUAUUGAAGCUAAGUUAUCAUCAUCUUCCAUUCUCAUUGAAAAAUUGUUUUAGUUUUUGUGCCAUUUUCCCAAAGGAUUAUAGAAUGAAAAAGAACACAUUGAUAAACCUUUGGAUAGCACACAACUAUAUUGUUCCAUCACACAAAGGUCAGAGCAUUGAAGAUGCAGGUGAGGAACAUUUUCUAAUAUUGUUGAGAAGGUGUUUCUUCCAAGAUAUAGAAAAAGAUGUUGUUACAGGUGAGGUAGAUUCGAUUAAGAUUCACGAUCUUUUGCAUGACAUUGCUCAAGAUGUCUCGAGGAAGGAGAUUUUUGCAGGAAGUGACAACCUACAUAAAAAUAUUCGCCAUCUCUCACUAUUCAAGGAGGAAAUUAAUUAUGAAAUUUCUUCUUUGGAUAUACCGCGUUUACGUUCGUAUCUUGAUUAUCGGUAUUUUAGUUUUAGGCAUGAGGAUAAUUUUCUUGGGGAAAAAUUAAUAAAAAGUUGUAGGAACCUAAGGGCAUUAAGAUUAAAAAUUAAAGAUUUGUCAAGUUUAAAUUACGUAGGUGAAUUAUUCCAUCUACGAUAUUUAGAUCUCUCAUCAAACACGACAUUAGAAGUGCUCCCUAAAUCAAUAACAAAAUUAUGUAAUCUAGAAGUAUUAAUGUUAUAUGGUUGUGGCAAUUUAAAAGAGUUACCGGAAGAUUUGAGUAGGUUGAUCAAACUUAGGGUCUUAGAUAUUUCAGGUUGUUUUAUGUUGAAGUAUAUGCCCAAGGGUAUGGAUAAGUUGACAUGUCUUUAUAGACUGAGUGAUUUUAUAGUGGGUGGUAAGGAUUGUUAUUCAAGUUGGUCAGAAUGGUUUUUAGGAUUAGAAGAGUUGAAAGAUCUUAAAAACCUCCACGGUCCACUUAGAAUUAAAAUAAAGUUGCCUGAAAAUAUAAGUCAAGAUCAAAUCUGGGAGAGGAAAAGAUUUUAUUUGAGGGAUAAAAAACAUCUCAAUCACAUUUGUAUUGAUUUUUAUUUUGAUAAAAAACAUCUCAAAUGUAAGUCAAGAGUAUUGGAUAACGAGGGAGCAAUAAAAUUGAUGGAAGAUCUUCACCCACCUUCUAGUCUUCGCUUUUUUGAGAUGUAUAAUUAUGUUGGUAAGCAAAUGCCAGAGUGGAUAUCCCAUCUUCCAAACCUUUAUUUUCUUCAACUUAAUAGUUGUUACAAUUUGGAGUACCUUGAAUGCUUUGGAAAUGUAGACGAAAGGUCAAUCCUCCCUUCUCUUCAAAAACUUAGGUUAAAAAAUCUACCAAAGUUGAAAGGAUGGAGGAUAGGAGGGGUUGGGGUGGAAGAUAACAACAACUCAUUAUGUCUUCCUUCUUUGAAGAAAUUAUAUAUAAAACAUUGUGAGGAGCUGACGUGUUUUCCGGCGUGUCCCGGAUUGGAGGAAUUUUUUUUAAGCGAUUUCAAUACAAGAUUGAAUGGGAUAAUGAGAAGAACAGAAAGAGAUGAUGAAGAAUCAAGAGAAGUCAUUGUUUUAAAAUCUUCAAAAUUAAGAAAAGUGAAAAUUAAUGAUGUGGCAUGUCUGAAUUCACUACCUAUUCAGGCUCUUCAACGUCUUGAAACCCUAACAAUAUUUUGGGAUGAGAAAGAGGAGAACUUGGGAGAACUGUUCCGUGCUUGCUCUUCCUCUCUCCGAAUUCUGGAGAUUAAGUAUUGCCUCAAUUUAAGGAGUAUAGUGGCUGGAGAAUUGGAACAUCUCUCUGCUUUGGAGACAUUAUCUAUAUCAUCAUGUUUCAAUCUGAAAUUCUCGGAAGAAAAAGAAGAAAAUGACGGUGUUGGAUACAAUCCAUCCAUUCUUCCCUCUCUUCUUACCUUGUCGUUGAAUGAACUCCGAAAGAUGGAGCAUCUGCCAAACUGGAUGCAAUUCUUGCCUGCCCUCCAAACUCUUGAAAUAAAUAGUUGUUGUAAGCUGAAAGCAAUCCCGAAUUGGAUGCCCAAACUCACCUCUCUCAAGAAACUUUAUGUUUUUGAUUGUUUAAAAAGCCUGGAGAGAAGAUGUAAAGAAGAUCCACCAGGAGAAGACUGGCCUUACAUUCAACACAUCCCCAACAUUCAAUUUAUAAAUUGUUUUAAAGAGAAUUCUGAUGAAGAGUAUUCUGAUGAUGAGUAUUUGGAUGAAGAUUAUUGCGAACUUUACCAAAACUCUGGUUUGGUGAAAAAGGAACUUUACUGUUGGAAUGGUAUGUCUCACAUUGAUAAAUUAAAGAUGAUGUGCAUACUUUAUAAGUCAUUGAAAUCGUUCCUCCCAUAGCUAUGGUUUUGGAAUAGUAUCUCCUUGGUUUGUAAAGUGUGAGCAACUCGUGUUUUUCCGAUUACAUUGAAUAUACUUGUAUUCAUCACAAGAAGCCUGGCUAACAAGCAAAAAGUUCAUCAAUAUAAGUAACUAUUAAUGAUCAUCAAUAUUGUUACAUAAUUCACUAGUUAAUUACGUUUUUGAAUAUGCGAUUCGCUCAUAAUAGCCCAAAACGACAAUAAUUGGCUUUUCGCGAUUCGCGAGAAGAUUAGCGAAUCAUUUAAUACUGAUCAUCAAUAUAGCUCAACGUUGUAUAACUUAGUUUUAAAUGAGGGGCUCUCAAAAGUGGUCUAAUAUGAUACUCUUUUUUUUCGAUGCUACAAUGAACUAUCUGACUUUGGUCCCUAGAGUCUUCUUGCAUUGUAUAUGGCCUCUUUUGCAGAAAACAAAUUUGUAUACCUUCUUUCUAGUGCCACCAUCCUUCUUUGUAUUUAUACUGAACUUUCUCUAAUUUUUGCAGGUGCAAGUUGAAAUUCUACCCAAAACGAAGUCUCAAUUCAUAGCUUUUGUCUCGGGUAAUACUCAUAGCUUUCUUUCUUUGCACAUGCGCUCGUAUACCUUGAUAUGCUAGAUUGCUGGGCAUCGACCAACAAGUGUAGAAGGCGGCAAAAUCUUGCAUGAGUUUGCCAUGUUGAGAGAAAACUGUGAAGGGUCCCGAUCAAGGAGCUUGGCGCUACAAUAUUGUCCUACCUUGCUGCCGUUUCAAGCACCUAUACAGCUUCUCUUGAUUCAGAACAGCUUUGACUUGAAGAAACAAGGAGGUUUUCAUACUCAGUGCUGCUGUUUUCGAUCUCUUUGAUAGUUCGGUACCUGAAUAUUUGAUCUCACUGCCUUUCAUUAGUUUUUUCUUGCUCGUUAUGUUGAAGGAAAACCGUGGAAGGAACUUGAACAAGGAAUCGAAGACUACUGUAUUGUCCUACUUUGGAAGAACAUGAAACUGGAGUCGACUUAUUCAACUGCGUACAUUUGAUAUUACAUCAUCCAAGACAAUCAAGUAUUUCUUUCCCGCUAGCUGUUCACGAAGUUGGCUUUUCACCGAAUCCAUGGUGGAAUCAAUAUAAUUCUUGCCUAAAAUCUUGCCAAGAGUUUCUUUCACAUCUAGUUGUUUCUGAUCUUGAUCAGAAACACAGGUCCAUAACCUCAAUAGAAAUGCACUUACGAUCCUUGAAUCAUUAAAUACAAGUUGGGCAAGAGCAGUUUUGCUUAAUCCACCAAUUCCUACAAUUGUAAGGAAAGAAACAUCAUGCUGAACAUUAGAAUCAAGCAACAUACCAACAAUGCUCUCCAAUUCACCCUCCCUCCCAACGAUAUCCCCUGCAUCCACUGAAGAACAUGUUUCGGUUUUUAUCUUCCUGAUAGGCUGAGGAUCAAGCUUAAAGUGAAAGUGAUACUACAAGCAAUAACAUCCAACUUCUUCUUGAUAUUCACAACCCCUUUAGACAUUCUAUAAGUACAUGAUCAUGUUGUAGAUUAAAAUUCGAAAAGAAGUAGCGCACCUUUUCAGAGAGUCUAUGACAAGAUUUCAGGAGCUUCUUUUGCUUAGCAAGAGUCGAAAACUCGUCCAACAGAUCAUCAACUUCGAAAACAGCAUCCUUCAGCUCCUCAAUCAAAUUCUGUGCUUGAUCAGAAAGAUCCUGCUUGGCCUCGGCAUCACAGAGAACAUCAUUGAUGGUGAUGAUGGUAUUUUGUAGGUAUCAAGGUUGAUUUGUAGCCAGAAAUUGUGAGAAUUUCUUGCAAGUCUGGACAUUACACUGCUGCAAGCAGAGUUUGAUUAACAGUUCCCAAAUUCAUGUUCAGUUUCAAUGACAGAAAAUCUUGUACAAGGGUGUGAAACUGAGUUUGGUUUUGGUUAAUGUACGCCUAGCUCAAUUUUUACUUGUUUAUAUCUUGUAGUAUAUCCGACAUCUCAAACCCAGUUUAGGUGGGAGUUGAAUAAACUAAGCAAUAAAGAAGGCUAUACAAUGAGACCCUUGGCAUACUAAACAAUGACCUAAAACUAUAGUGUUUAUAGGGAAUGAUUAGGCAUGAUAUGAUACAAAGUAGGGAAGCAUCUCAACAUAGGCAGAAAAUGAACAGAUGCCUCACUGCAAGCCUGCUCGUUCGAGCAUGAUGGCUGCUUGUUUCGUGCGACUGAACCGCGGUGGGCUCGAACGUUUCCUGCGACUGGCCCUUUUUUUUAAUUUUUUUUUUC